rnacentral:misc_RNA from 1 species
UCCGAGUUAUCCCCGGCAGAUUCCGAGGAUGUCAAGGGUAGGUAAGGUUCUUCGCGUUGCAUCGAAUUAAACCACAUGCUCCACCGCUUGUGCGGGCCCCCGUCAAUUCAUUUGAGUUUUAACCUUGCGGCCGUACUCCCCAGGCGGUCGACUUAUCGCGUUAACUGCGCCACAAAGUCCGCGAGGGACCCAACGGCUAGUCGACAUCGUUUACGGCGUGGACUAC